ACCCCGCUGCCAUAACUAGCGCUGAAUGCGCUUCGACCGAACGACGUCUGGUGUCGCACUGGCGUUCUGCGCCUUGCGACCCGAUGUCCGUGAGGAAUGC
rnacentral:misc_RNA from 1 species